CUCCACAUGUGACUGUACACUCAAAGUAUCCCAGCAGAGGCACUCUCCCAGGUGCAACAAGAUGAAACAGUCAGUUUCGGGGUCUCUUAUCAUGUCCCUAUAUAAACACAGGUGUGGGAGGGAAAUAUUUUGAGAUGACUGCAUGGAACUCUGUAUUCCUUUUCCAUAUAAUGAGUAUAUUAUUCUCCAGCGUCUCUCCAUUGCUCAAAACCACGAAUAUCUCCUCUCUUGAAAAAGUGACAGUGUGAGGACUGGGAAGCUGAAAUUUUAGCUCAGAAGUCUACAACUAGAACCAAGUUUCUAAAAAUGUGCUGUGUUAUAUAAUCCAGGAGGAGGCAAUGGAAAAGUACCAGCUGGUGUGGGACUGGAGGCUUUCCUGCCUCUGACUCACUCAGGCAAAAGGUCUUGAAUUAAGAUGCUUCUCAGAAAAUCCAAACAAAACCCAUUCAUUCUCCAAGGCUUCGCAUUCGUUGUGGGAGUCAAAAUGUAACCAUGGGACUGAGAUUGCCUGGGCACAUUUGGGAAAGUUCACAAAGUUUGUUCUUGUGUCCCUCGAGGCCAGCUUCCAGGGCCUCCCCACUCCUUUCCAGAUGCCCGAUGCCAUCCUGCCGUAUCUAUGGCACCACAGACAGCCCUAUCGGGAAGAUGGCCCAAAUGGCUUUCCCCAUCAAAACUUGACUUCUCUGUCCUGUGGCCUCAGGCCCUGCUCUGGGUUGUCCUUAACUAAACAGUUAGAUGGAUCCUUGCUGUGGUGUUAGCUAACUGAAUAGAGCACCUUUGAAAAAAUAACAUAAUAGGCUGACCACGGUGGCUCAUGCCUGUAAUCCUGGCACCUUGG
rnacentral:lncRNA from 1 species